UGGGGAAUAUUGCACAAUGGGCGCAAGCCUGAUGCAGCCAUGCCGCGUGUGUGAAGAAGGCCUUCGGGUUGUAAAGCACUUUCAGCGAGGAGGAAGGUGGUGAGCUUAAUACGCUCAUCAAUUGACGUUACUCGCAGAAGAAGCACCGGCUAACUCCGUGCCAGCAGCCGCGGUAAUACGGAGGGUGCAAGCGUUAAUCGGAAUUACUGGGCGUAAAGCGCACGCAGGCGGUUUGUUAAGUCAGAUGUGAAAUCCCCGGGCUCAACCUGGGAACUGCAUUUGAAACUGGCAAGCUAGAGUCUCGUAGAGGGGGGUAGAAUUCCAGGUGUAGCGGUGAAAUGCGUAGAGAUCUGGAGGAAUACCGGUGGCGAAGGCGGCCCCCUGGACGAAGACUGGCGCUCAGGUGCGAAAGCGUGGGGAGCAAAACAGGAUUAGAUACCCUGGUAGUCCACGCUGUAAAACGAUGUCGAUUUUGGAGGUUGUGCCCUUGAGGCGUGGCUUCCGGAGCUAACG
rnacentral:rRNA from 1 species